AGAUAUAUGGGUUCUUCUGUCCAUUCUGAAGCAAUUUCACCGUUAACUUGAUCUGCAAAUAUAAAAAUGACCUUAUCAUAAAAAAUAAAAAAAAAAUAAAUAAAUAAAUAAAAAAGAAGAAGAAGAAGAAGAAGUAAGAACUUCUUUGACAGGCUGUGAAAUACUCUUUCACUGGGUGCUUUAUCUCUUCAAAGUUCUGAGAGUUCUUUCACGAAAGGAGUCGCCGGAGUGAGGCGGCAACAUUGGAGAUCACGUUGUGGAAGCGAAUCGGGCGGGAGAGAAAUGUGAUGGUUCUGUUAAUAUUGAUCCAGUGUUGUAGAUCCGGGUCAGUUUCUGUCAAAUAAUCAUUUUGCAGUGGUGCCUGCGGUGACAUCGAUGCGCCACCAUUAUCCACUAAAUACACUGUCCUCCACCUCGUCGGCAUUGAGCAAGUGUUUCUUGUGGGUCAUGAUUGGGAUGCGAUAGUGGUUUGACAUUUUAGGCUUGAUGGAAUCAAAGCUUUGGUUAAUAUCAAUGUUGUUUUCAUGCCGAAAAAUCCUAACUAUAAGUCUGUGGAGAAAUACAGAAAAUUAUUAGGUGAUGAUUUAUAUAUCUGCAGGUUUCGAGUAAGUUCAUAUUAUUUUCCUUUCCUUUUUAAUUAUUCCCCUCUCUCAAAUUUUAUUCUUCUGUUAAUCAACCAUUUAUUUUUCAUUUAUUUGACCUGAGCAACUGAGAAUAUAAUCAAAUUCAUCUACUUUAUUCAUCUUGUUAUCAAUUUUUUAAUUGCAAUUUCA
rnacentral:lncRNA from 1 species